GGAUGCAAUCACUCUACAGCUGAAAGCACUGGGUAUAGGAGAGAUAGCAAGACAGAACCUGAGUCAAAAGGAGGUUAAAAAUGAAGUAUGGAUAUGAGAAGCCAUAGGAUUGCUAGAACAUAUCAGGGAAUAAAAUGAAUAAUGCAAUGUACAAAGUAAAGUGGAAGGACUGUUUCUUAGUUUUCUCUACCCAUGAAGAAGCCGAUAGUCAAAUAACCACAGAAACUCAUUUCCGUCUUCCUAAUGAAGACAGCCCUAAUCUAGCACUGUGCAUGCCAAGUAGGUAAAAAAGAAAAUGGUGUAAACACUAAAAGCCAUGUGGACUAGCUUAAUUCCUAGCAAGAUGGCUGUAUGGAUGGAUGCAAAUUUAGUGCACUUGAAUAGAAAGCAUGUACUCAAAAGCUUUAUGACAUGUUCAUGUAGACAUGGCCAUACCCUGACAUAAUUGUGUAAUUCCUUAUGCUAAUGCAAUAACUGUAGGCCAUCAGAGCUUGUGUUUUUAAUCCCACUGCAUUCAAAGCAGAAAACCAAGGUUGUUCACAUUUAUAGAAAAAGAGCAUCAAAAUACCUGUAAGAAAUAUUACACUAUGGAGUAGAGACUUUUCAUAUAGGUUUAUUCAUUGGUUAUGUACUUCAGAAUCAAAGAUAUGAACAUUUUCACUUUUAGGAACUAAAACCAUCUGUAAAGGAUCUCAUACCGAGAAGACAAAAUGAAAUCCAUAAUAUCUGGCUGUCAUUGUAGCUCUUUAACGUUGUAUAGUAUUCACUUAGUAAGCCAUUUACUUGUCUGCCUGUGCUGGAGGUUUCCUUAACCUGCAUCAAACUUACCUGGUCACUGACCUGGGUGUAAGGAGCUGUGUUUUGUUAACUGGGCCUAUUGGACUACAAUAAUAAUCACAGAUGAUAGGAGAAACACUUCCUUCAUAGCCUGACCUUGCCAUCUUGGCUCAUGAAUAUUAUUCAGAGGAAAUUACUGAUAAAAAAGAGUAAGAGUGUCAUAAGAUAACCCUAACCUUGGCAGUAUUUGUAUAUUUACUCGAUUUUAAACAGUGAGAGUAGCGCUAGACAUUGUACAGAGAUUAAUAAAUAGAUUCAGUGCCUGCGGAAUCAGAGCUUAAGAACAGAUUCCCAUGGCCUCAGAUUUCACCUUUAAUUAUGACAUUUAAUACAGAAAGACUGGGAAGCAGAAGUUUUGUUAUUACUUUUUAAGUUUUCCCAGAAUGAGAGAGAAUACAGGUAUCAAAAUAUACCUCCAUACAGCUAUCAACAGGUCACACUUUAGGCAGACAUACAGUUGUAAUAACUUAGAAAAACAUUCCACUGUGUAUUCCCCAAGCAGUCUUGAAAUACCUCAAGCAAACUAGAAACCCCAUGAAAUUUAAUAUACCCUAAAAGACAAAUGAGAGUAUCAAGAUAUUAUCAGUGUUUUUAGUAAAUCCUGUUUUCAAUUUAUCCUUCUGAAGGCAGAUACACAAUAUAAUGGUCUAAUUUUUCAUUUCGAUGUUAACACCUGCUGCUAGGAAACUGUAUUCUUCAUUAAAAUGCAAGUAAUUUAUGGAAUGGAACUAUAUAUUCAUUGUGAAUAAUGUUUUUUGUUUUUAAAAUAGUGUUUUAAAUGAUUAGGCCCAGUGUGGGUAACCAGGGACAGACACAGCCCCUCAGUGGCCAGGCAGGCCCAUGGGGAUGAGGACAGGUCGAUGCUAGCUAGGAAAGGACAUCAGCCCACAGGUUGGGCUCAUGUCCACAGAGGCAGGGCUAUGGGGUGCUGGAGACCAGCCCUGCUGAGGCAUCACUAGGGCAGGGGCUGAUGGUCCUUAGGGGGCUGAAAUGAGAUCCUGGGCCCUGGGCAAGGUGGAGGGAGACUGGAGGGUGGGCAGGGACAUGCAGGGCUGGUAGAGCCUUCAAGGCCCUGAGAAUAUGAAAGCAGUUUUGAAAACAUGAGUGCACAGACUGACUCCAGCUCAGCUUUGGGGUUUGUUUUUGUCUUUACCUCUUCUUUUCUUUUUUUUAAAGUAUUUAUUUUUUGCUCUACUGCAUGCUACUAUGUCCCUACAGCCAGGAAUUGCCAGACUAGAAAGAAAGCACAAGAUCUUUGCAACUGUCUCUUCUAUUAACUACAGGAAUACAAAGCUGACAAGUAGUAAAGCUUUCUUCUUGUUUGCAGAGUGAAAAGCUGCCAUUUGGAUAAAGCCUAUGAACAGCAUCCAUUCAGAGGGAUGCACCAGGGGAAUUAUGGUUCAGGGAAACUAUAGGCUGACUGAAUUUUUUAAACUUCUGGAGCCAGCUGUAUCCCUCAAAAGAAGGGCAAAGGAACUAGGU